AAUGGAGCCCAGGGAGAGGAAGCAGAAGGAAAAACAAAAAAACCAAAAACAUCAGAAAAAUUGAGGCUAGAAUACAGCGAUGUUUAACUCUCAAGGGGUGGCUUCUCUGUCCUUUUUCCUGAGCAUGGGGACAAAUUUGUUUUGUUUUCUGAGGGCAGCUGGCCUUGCCUGAGUCCUGGCUGUAAACUUGAGUUCGCUGCAGCAGGCAGGACCGGCUUCCUGCAAGCUUGCAUCAAUGAGAAGGCCCAAGGUAUAGGAGAUUCUGAUAGCAGUGACUGGAAUGUCUGAGAUGUUAAAAGAUUUGGUUUGAAGAAACUUGAAUGCAUCAUCGCUGAGAUCUUCUGAGGUCAGCUUCUGAAGGACUCUUCUUGCAUAUGGCCCUGCAACUCCCAGGACCCCAAACUCAUCGGUUAUGUUUUGAAUUUCCACAUCAUAUCCACCUCUGAAGGCUGCUUCUUCAAUCCAUCUGCAUUGGGAUCAUAAGCCUGGGUAAACGUUGCCUGAAUAAUGCAUGUUUCUACUAUACUAUGUCUCUGAAGU
ensembl:antisense AW495222 expressed sequence AW495222